GAGAUUGUAGAACCAUUGAAUAUACCAUUGCGGACGAGAUAAUUCAGUCUUCAAUCGCUCUUGCGAGAUUAGGAGAGUUGGUUAUGCCUGAGUCUAUCCACUCGGAGUGGACAGCUAUCGCGCACAUCAUGAGAUAAGCUGGCUGUGAUAACUGGGACAGCCCACGCACUAAGGUAUUGGCCUAUCGAGGCAAUGAAGUAUGCUGGACAGACCAUACGA
rnacentral:lncRNA from 1 species